UGGCUAAGAGAAUUGGCUGUUCUUCCAGA
rnacentral:piRNA from 1 species